UAAGAUGUGGGCGUACAAGAUAAUCCCCACCCACAUGUGACCUUUGGUUUGUCUCGCCUGGGUAUAAGGUCUUUCAACUCUUCCUUCCUUCCUUCCUUCCCCCACCACCAUUAACUCCCAACUUUCUCAUUCUACUCCUCCUUGCUUAUCCAUUUACAAGAUUUGCAUAGACAUACAAGACGAUAACAUGGCCACUGAAGCACCAAGCUGGGCAGAUCAAUGGGGUGCUGGAGGAAUCGGUGCCAUGGAGGAAGAUGACAGCGCUAAUACCAAGAGAGAAAGCAGCGGCAACAAGAAGGGGAAUGCAAAAGCUGGAUUGAAUAAAGCCAAAGCAACCGCCAUGGUUGGAGCACUAAAGAUCAAGAGCGGAGCAUCAGCCGGCAUCAAAUGGGUCAAGAAUCAAUGUCAGAAAAAGGGCUCGCCUAAAUGAAAUUGUUCUCUCAACUCCCGUUGUAUUGAAAAAAAGUAGAAUCAAAGGAAUGUUUGCAAUUACUUUUGAAUUUGAAUGCAAGCCCAUGGUUUUAUGCAACCA